GAUGAACGCUGGCGGCGUGCCUAAUACAUGCAAGUCGAGCGAACGGACGAGAAGCUUGCUUCUCUGAUGUUAGCGGCGGACGGGUGAGUAACACGUGGAUAACCUACCUAUAAGACUGGGAUAACUUCGGGAAACCGGAGCUAAUACCGGAUGAUAUUUUGAACCGCAUGGUUCAAAAGUGAAAGACGGUCUUGCUGUCACUUAUAGAUGGAUCCGCGCUGCAUUAGCUAGUUGGUAAGGUAACGGCUUACCAAGGCAACGAUGCAUAGCCGACCUGAGGGGGGUAUCGGCCAAACUGGAACGGAGACCCGGUCCAAACCCCUACGGGGGGAAGCAGGAGGGAAUCUUCCGCAAGGGGCGAAAGCCUAACGGAGCAACGCCGCGUGAGGAAUGAAGGUUUUGGGAUCGAAAAACUUUUUUAUUAGGGAAGAAAAAAGGGGUAAGUAACUGUGCACAUCUGGACGGUCCCAAAUCAAAAAGCCACGGCGAACUACGU
rnacentral:rRNA from 1 species